rnacentral:tRNA from 1 species
UAGGCUGAGGCCCGCUGGAUAGGGUGUUUAGUUGUUAACUAGCAUUUUGCGGGAUCAAGGCCCGCCAGUCU